rnacentral:rRNA from 1 species
UGGUGGAGUGAUUUGUCUGGUUAAUUCCGAUAACGAACGAGACCUUAACCUGCUAAAUAGGAACAAGCGACACAUUCGGGCGGAAUGAUACGGAUUAUACUAAGCAUUACCUCGGUAAUGUGGACGUAUAACACCGGUUAUCCGUCCGUCCUUGGCCUACUUCUUAGAGGGACUGCCGGUGUUGCAACCGGAGGAAGUUUGAGGCAAUAACA